GGGAAUGUGGCUUAGUGGUAGAGUGCUUGCCUAGCAUACAUGAAGCCCUGGGUUCGAUUCCUCAGUACCA
rfam:Dipodomys ordii contig_18665, whole genome shotgun sequence.